rnacentral:rRNA from 1 species
AGUGCAUGUGGUGGAUGCCUUGGCGAUUACAGGCGAUGAAAGACGUUGUAGCCUGCGAAAAGCUGCGGGGAGCUGGCAAACAAGCUUUGAUCCGCAGAUCUCUGAAUGGGGAAACCCGGCCCGCAAGGGUCACUCCUGGCUGAAUACAUAGGUCAGGUAGAGCGAACCCGGAGAACUGAAACAUCUAAGUACCCGGAGGAAAAGAAAUCAACCGAGAUUCCGUAAGUAGUGGCGAGCGAACACGGAGGAGCCUGCAACCUUUAGCUUACUUGUUAGUGGAACAGUCUGGAAAGUCUGGCCAUAGUGGGUGAUAGCCCCGUACGCGAAAGCAAGUGAGUGGAAAUAGGGUUGGAACAAGUAGGGCGGGACACGUGAAAUCCUGUCUGAACAUGGGGGGACCAUCCUCCAAGGCUAAAUACUCGUAAUCGACCGAUAGUGAACCAGUACCGUGAGGGAAAGGCGAAAAGAACCCCGGAAGGGGAGUGAAAUAGAUCCUGAAACCGCAUGCAUACAAACAGUGGGAGCCCCAGCUUAAAGAACCUUCGAGUUCUUUCGAGGAGCAUCGCGCAGCGAUGCGACUCAAAAGACUCCAAGAUGAAAUAGAUCCUUUUGCACCGCACUACACGUGAAGUGUGAGGGUUCUUUGAGCUGGGGUGACUGCGUACCUUUUGUAUAAUGGGUCAGCGACUUACGUUCAGUUGCGAGCUUAACCGAAUAGGGGAGGCGUAGCGAAAGCGAGUCUGAUAAGGGCGAUAGUAGCUGGGCGUAGACCCGAAACCAAGUGAUCUAUCCAUGGCCAGGAUGAAGGUGGGGUAACACUCACUGGAGGUCCGAACCCACUAACGUUGAAAAGUUAGGGGAUGAGCUGUGGAUAGGGGUGAAAGGCUAAACAAACUUGGAAAUAGCUGGUUCUCUCCGAAAACUAUUUAGGUAGUGCCUCAUGUAUCACUCUCGGGGGUAGAGCACUGUUAUGGCUAGGGGUCUAUUGCUGAUUACCAAACCAUUGCAAACUCCGAAUACCGGGAAGUGCGAGCAUGGGAGACAGACAUCGGGUGCUAACGUCCGGUGUCGAAAGGGAAACAACCCAGACCGCCGAUUAAGGUCCCCAAGACACAGUUAAGUGGAAAACGAGGUGGGAAGGCUAAAACAGUCAGGAGGUUGGCUUAGAAGCAGCCAUCCUUUAAAGAAAGCGUAAUAGCUCACUGAUCGAGUCGUCCUGCGCGGAAGAUGUAACGGGGCUCAAACUGUGCACCGAAAUCGCGGAUCUCAGCGUUCCUUUUAGAACAUUCAUGUUUCGCGGAGCGGCACAACGCAAGUUGUGGCGCGACGCAAAACGAAUACACGACAAAACAGUUGGGGGCAUGUUCCCCUCGAUUGAAGGUUUGUCGUUCACCCUGCGGCGUGAACGACAACCGUGGGCGUGUUCUAAAAGGAGCGCUGAGAUGGUAGGAGAGCGUUCCGUAGGCCUGCGAAGGUGUGGUGUGAACCAUGCUGGAGGUAUCGGAAGUGCGAAUGCUGACAUGAGUAGCGAUAAAGCAUGUGAAAGGCAUGCUCGCCGAAAGCCCAAGGUUUCCUGUUCAACGUUCAUCGGAACAGGGUGAGUCGGCCCCUAAGGCGAGGCUGAAAAGCGUAGUCGAUGGGAAACAGGUUAAUAUUCCUGUACCUCAAUACAAUGCGAUGUGGGGACGGAGAAGGUUAGGCAAUCCGGGUGUUGGAUGUCCCGGUUUAAGCGUGUAGGCGGAUCCUUUAGGCAAAUCCGGAGGGUCAACGCCGAGGCGUUAUGACGAGCGGCCUUGUGCUGCGAAGUUGCUGAUACCACGCUUCCAGGAAAAGCCACUAAGCUCCAGUUGUAUUGGGACCGUACCGCAAACCGACACAGGUGGGCAGGAUGAGAAUUCUAAGGCGCUUGAGAGAACUCGGGUGAAGGAACUCGGCAAAUUAGCACCGUAACUUCGGGAAAAGGUGCGCCCCGGUAGGGUGUAGGACUUCGCGUCUGAAGCCUGAUGGGGUUGCAGUGAAAAGGUGGCUGCGACUGUUUAAUAAAAACACAGCACUCUGCAAACACGAAAGUGGACGUAUAGAGUGUGACGCCUGCCCGGUGCCGGAAGGUUAAGUGAUGGGGUGCAAGCUCUUGAUCGAAGCCCCGGUAAACGGCGGCCGUAACUAUAACGGUCCUAAGGUAGCGAAAUUCCUUGUCGGGUAAGUUCCGACCUGCACGAAUGGCGUAACGCUGGCCACGCUGUCUCCUCCUGAGACUCAGCGAAGUUGAAAUGUUUGUGAUGAUGCAAUCUACCCGCGGCUAGACGGAAAGACCCCGUGCACCUUUACUGCAACUUUGCAUUGGACUGUGAACCGAUCUGUGUAGGAUAGCUGGGAGGCUUUGAAGUGGGGGCGCUAGCUCUCAUGGAGCCGUCGUUGAAAUACCAGCCUGACCUGUUUGCGGUUCUAACCUUGGCUCGUAAUCCGGGUCGGGGACCGUGCAUGGUAGGCAGUUUGACUGGGGCGGUCUCCUCCCAAAGAGUAACGGAGGAGUACGAAGGUACGCUUAGCACGGUCGGAAAUCGUGCUUGAAUGUGCAUUGGCAAAAGCGUGCUUGACUGCGAGACGGACAUGUCGAGCAGGUGCGAAAGCAGGUCAUAGUGAUCCGGUGGUUCUGUAUGGAAGGGCCAUCGCUCAACGGAUAAAAGGUACGCCGGGGAUAACAGGCUGAUCUCCCCCAAGAGUCCACAUCGACGGGGAGGUUUGGCACCUCGAUGUCGGCUCAUCACAUCCUGGGGCUGGAGCAGGUCCCAAGGGUUCGGCUGUUCGCCGAUUAAAGUGGUACGUGAGCUGGGUUUAGAACGUCGUGAGACAGUUCGGUCCCUAUCUGCCGUGGGUGUAGGAGACUUGAGAAGAGUUGCCCCUAGUACGAGAGGACCGGGGUGAACGCUCCACUGGUGGACCAGUUGUCGUGCCAACGGCAGUGCUGGGUAGCUAUGAGCGGACAGGAUAACCGCUGAAGGCAUCUAAGCGGGAAGCCCCCUUCAAAACAAGGUCUCCCUGAGGGCCGUGGAAGACCACCACGUCGAUAGGCCGGAGGUGCAAGCGCAGCAAUGCGUUCAGCUGACCGGUACUAAUUGCCCGAUAGGCUUGAUC